rnacentral:rRNA from 1 species
ACUCAAAUGAAUUGACGGGGGCCCGCACAAGCGGUGGAUCAUGUGGUUUAAUUCGAAGCAACGCGCAGAACCUUACCUGGGUUUGACAUCCUCUGACAUGCGUAGAGAUACGUACUUCAUAGCAAUAUGACAGAGAGACAGGUGCUGCAUGGCUGUCGUCAGCUCGUGUUGUGAAAUGUUGGGUUAAGUCCCGCAACGAGCGCAACCCCUACUUUUGGUUGCCAUCAUUAAGUUGGGCACUCCAGAGGGACUGCCGUCGUUAAGACGGAGGAAGGUGGGGAUGACGUCAAGUCCUCAUGGCCUUUAUACCCAGGGCUACACACGUGAUACAAUGGUUGGUACAGAGGGUAGCGAAGCAGCGAUGCGGAGCUAAUCUCAAAAAGCCAAUCUCAGUUCGGAUUGGAGUCUGCAAUUCGACUCCAUGAAGUUGGAAUCGCUAGUAAUCGCGGAUCAGAACGCCGCGGUGAAUACGUUCCCGGGCCUUGUACACACCGCCCGU